rnacentral:rRNA from 1 species
GAAUAGGUUGGCACCUUGACGGUACCUAACCAGAAAGCCCCGGCUAACUACGUGCCAGCAGCCGCGGUAAUACGUAGGGGGCAAGCGUUGUCCGGAAUUAUUGGGCGUAAAGCGCGCGCAGGCGGUCCUUUAAGUCUGAUGUGAAAGCCCACGGCUUAACCGUGGAGGGCCAUUGGAAACUGGAGGACUUGAGUACAGAAGAGGAGAGUGGAAUUCCACGUGUAGCGGUGAAAUGCGUAGAGAUGUGGAGGAACACCAGUGGCGAAGGCGACUCUCUGGUCUGUAACUGACGCUGAGGUGCGAAAGCGUGGGUAGCGAACAGGAUUAGAUACCCUGGUAGUCCACGCCGUAAACGAUGAGUGCUAGGUGUUAGGGGGUUUCCGCCCCUUAGUGCUGAAGUUAACGCAUUAAGCACUCCGCCUGGGGAGUACGGCCGCAAGGCUGAAACUCAAAAGAAUUGACGGGGACCCGCACAAGCGGUGGAGCAUGUGGUUUAAUUCGAAGCAACGCGAAGAACCUUACCAGGUCUUGACAUCCUCUGACACCCCUAGAGAUAGGGCAUUCCCUUCGGGGACAGAGUGACAGGUGGUGCAUGGUUGUCGUCAGCUCGUGUCGUGAGAUGUUGGGUUAAGUCCCGCAACGAGCGCAACCCUUGAUCUUAGUUGCCAGCAUUUAGUUGGGCACUCUAAGGUGACUGCCGGUGACAAACCGGAGGAAGGUGGGGGAUGACGUCAAAUCAUCAU